rnacentral:rRNA from 1 species
CGCUGAGGAAGCGAAAAGCGUGGAGAAGCGAACAGGAUUAGAUACCCUGGUUAGUCCACGCCGUAAAACGCUGGGACGCUGGAUGUGGGGCCCCAUUUCCACGGGGUUCCGUGUCGGAGCUAACGCGAUUAAAACGUCCCGCCUGGGGAGUACGGCCGCAAGGCUAAAAACUCAAAGAAAAUUGAACGGGGGCCCGCACAAGCGGCGGAGCAUGCGGAUUAAUUCGAUGCAACGCGAAGAACCUUACCUGGGCUUGACAUGUGCCUGUCGACUGCAGAGAUGUGGUUUCCCUUCGGGGCAGGUUCACAGGUGGUGCAUGGUCGUCGUCAGCUCGUGUCGUGAGAUGUUGGGUUAAGUCCCGCAACGAGCGCAACCCUCGCCCUGUGUUGCCAGCGGGUUAUGCCGGGAACUCACGGGGGACCGCCGGGGUUAACUCGGAGGAAGGUGGGGAUGACGUCAGAUCAUCAUGCCCCUUACGUCCAGGGCUUCACGCAUGCUACAAUGGCCGGUACAACGGGAUGCGACAUGGUGACAUGGAGCGGAUCCCUUAAAACCGGUCUCAGUUCGGAUCGUAGUCUGCAACUCGACUACGUGAAGGCGGAGUCGCUAGUAAUCGCGAAUCAGCAACGUCGCGGUGAAUGCGUUCCCGGGCCUUGUGCACACCGCCCGUCA